GACGAACGCUGGCGGCGUGCUUAACACAUGCAAGUCGAACGGAAAGGCCUUGUUUUUGUGGGGUGCUCGAGUGGCGAACGGGUGAGUAACACGUGAGUAACCUGCCCUUGACUUUGGGAGAACUCUAGGAAACUGGGGCUAAUACCGGAUAGGAGGUAAUGCGGCAGGGGGGGGGUUGGAAAGUGUCGGCGGUGGGGGAUGGACUCGCGGCUUAUCAGCUUGUUGGUGGGGUAGUGGCUUACCAAGGCUUUGACGGGUAGCCGGCCUGAGAGGGUGACCGGCCACAUUGGGACUGAGGUGCGGCCCAGACUCCUACGGGAGGCAGCAGUGGGGAAUAUUGCACAAUGGGCGGAGGCCUGAUGCAGCAACGCCGCGUGCGGGAUGACGGCCGUCGGGUUGUAAACCGCUGUCGCCUGUGACGAAGCGUGAGUGACGGUAAUUGGUAAAGAAGCACCGGCUAACUACGUG
rnacentral:rRNA from 1 species